AUGAAUUCCGCCUCCAGCCUCACCACGCUCCGGCUGCUUCACCUCAUUGCCUUCCAUUCCUUCUCUCUGCUUUUUCUCCACCAUCUUCUCUCUCCUUUGGGCCCUAUUCUUCCUCCAUUCCUUCUCUCUGCUUUCUUUCCACAUCUUCUCUCUCCUUUGGGCCCCUAUUCUUGGCAUAUUCACCAAAAUGCCUCUUUUCUUCCCCAAUUUAAAGCUUCCAUCCGGGCUGUAACCAAUCCUCGCUCGUCCGCCUCUUCUAUUGGCUGCUUUUCUAUCUUCCUCUCUUCUCUCCUUCCUCUCAUCCUGAUUUCCCUCUUCUAUUUUCUCUAUUGCCUUCUUUCAUUUCUCUUAUUUUCUACCUUCUCUCUUUUUUUUUCCUAUUUCCUCUUCUAUUUUUUCUGCUUUUCUUCUAUUUUCUCCUCUCUUCUAAUUUUCUUCUAUUUUUCCUAUUUUCUCUUCUAUUUUUUCUGCUUCUCUUCCAUUUUUUCCCCCCCUCCCCCCAUUUUAAACACCUCCGUCCUUUUUCUGACGCCAUUUUCCAGCGUUUUCGCUGUUGUUUUUGCUCCUUUUAUUCCCAUAUUAUUCCCCCUCCCCCGUUUUUAUCCCCACUGCAUUUUGCCAACCCCCCCCCAACAACAAAAAAGGCCCCAAAUCUUUGGGAUGGGGGUUAAAAAUCCAACCCCUUUCCUUUUUAAACAAAGGAAAACACCCCAAAAUUGACCUUUUUUUUCCCCCACUCAUUUCACUCGGUGAGUUGGAAAACGCUGAAAACUCUUUAUUUUCCCCCAUUUAAUUCCCUCUUUUCCCAGCAGUUUCCCAUCCCCGUUCUUACCCCACCAUCCCAUCCGCCCCUUCUCACUCAAUUUGGCCCAAAAAGCACCAAAAUAUCCCUAUUUCAGCCCAUUCUGCAGCAGUGCUGAGUCACGCUGCAGCCACGCUCGGCCCUUUAAAUGGGAAACCGAACCCCAUUUUAAUGCAUUUUAGGGGCAUUUCCGCUCCAGGUAACAACACCCUAAGAUUAAAGACACCCCAAAAACACACCAGACCUCUCAUUAGUCCUCAAUUAACGUUAAUUAAUGCUCUGACGACACGGGCGGCACCGGGGACCUUUUCCAUAUCGGAUUUCAAGGCGUUUCCUGUAAAACCAGAGAGAAAAACGCUGUUGUUAAUCGGUUUCUAUUGUUCUGAUGGAGCAUUUUGUGAUUAAAAACCCCAUUUCUUCCCCAUUUUUAUUGGUCCUUCCAUCACCCCAAAGCCCCAGAGUGGGAUCAGCCCCAUGGGUGCAAUGUGAUUUGCACAUUCCUGCUCAUACACACCCUAAAAACCCCAAUUAAAAAGCAAAAAUAGCCUAUUAUCCCAUAUUUAACAUUACUAUUAAAGUCUCGUUGGGACAACUCAUGUUUUUUAGCACAAAAACAGCCCCAAAAAGACACGUUUUUACUUCAGAAAUGACCCCCUGGGAGUCACCUGAAGGGCCUUUUACACUCAGAAAGACUCUGAAGAAAAAAAACAUCGUAUUUUCAUACAAAAACAUCAUUUGUUUUACUAUUAAACGUCAUUUUUGCUUCACUGAACCAAAGGGCUGAGAAUUCCCUGAAAUUUGAGGAGUUUUUUGGCUCUUUUUUGGGGUUAUUUCGAUGGUUUUUGGGUCUUUGAUUCAUCACCCUCCCCCCCCCCCCCCCCCCCCCCCCCCCCCCCCCCCCCCUCCCCCUCCCCCUCC
ensembl:lncRNA